rnacentral:rRNA from 4 species
ACGAACGCUGGCGGCAGGCCUAACACAUGCAAGUCGAGCGCCCCGCAAGGGGAGCGGCGCACGGGUGAGUAACACGUGGGAACCUACCUUCUGGUACGGAACAACCAAGGGAAACUUUGGCUAAUACCGUAUACGACCUCCGGGUGAAAGAUUUAUCGCCGGAAGAGGGGCCCGCGUCCGAUUAGGUAGUUGGUGAGGUAACGGCUCACCAAGCCGACGAUCGGUAGCUG